UGUGGCAAUCGGUUGAUCGCUGUGAGUUGGGGAGCGCAGAGGAAAGUCCGGGCUUCUUGUGGGCAAGGUGCCGGAUAACGUCCGGCGUUGAGGGUUGGAAAGCUCUCAAUAGGGAAAGUGCAACAGAAAGUAUACCGCCUUUCGAGGUAAGGGUGAAAUGGUGAUGGUAAGAGCUCACCGGGUUCCUGGCAACGGGCAUCGCACGGCAAACCCCACCUGAAGCAAGACCAAGUAGGAGUGGUGUGGACUUCAUGUCCGUGAGAGCCUACACUCAUAAUCACUCGGGUAGGUCGCUUGAGCUCAUUGGUGACAAUGAGCCUAGAUGAAUGAUCAAACAGAGGGGCGACCCUCGGACAGAACCCGGCUUAUAGGUUGUCGCACGUG
rnacentral:RNase_P_RNA from 1 species